CGCCUCCCUCCGCCGCCACUCAGACUCCGUACGGGAGGCGAGCAGGUGGGGAAGUCGUUGCACAAGUACGGGGGAAACCCGUAGGAUGCAGCGACGCCGCGUGAGCGAUGAAGCCUUCGGGUGUAAGCUCUUUCGACGGGAACGAUAAUGACGGUACCGAAGAAGAAGCUGCGGCUAACUACGUGCCAGCAGCCGCGGUAAUUC
rnacentral:rRNA from 1 species